GACGAACGCUGGCGGCGUGCUUAACACAUGCCAGUCGAACGGAAAGGCCCUGCUUUUGUGGGGUGCUCGAGUGGCGAACGGGUGAGUAACACGUGAGUAACCUGCCCUUGACUUUGGGAUAACUUCAGGAAACUGGGGCUAAUACCGGAUAGGAGCUCCUGCUGCAUGGUGGGGGUUGGAAAGUUUCGGCGGUUGGGGAUGGACUGGCGGCUUAUCAGCUGGUUGGUGGGGUAGUGGCUUACCAAGGCUUUGACGGGUAGCCGGCAUGGGAGGGGGGCCGGCCUCAUUGGGACUGCGAGACGGCCCAGAAUCCUACGGGAGGCAGCAGGGGGGAGUAUGGCACAAUGGGCGGAAGCCUGAUGCAGCAACGCCGCGUGCGGGAUGACGGCCUUCGGGUUGUAAACCGCUUUCGCCUGCGACGAAGCGUGAGUGACGGUAAUGGGUAAAGAAGCACCGGCUAACUACGUG
rnacentral:rRNA from 1 species